UACGAGAGGCGCAAACGUUAUUCGGAUUUACUGGGCUUAAAGAGUUCGUAGGCGGCGCAGAAAGUAGGGUGUGAAAGCCCUCGGCUCAACCGAGGAAUGGCGCUCUAAACUACUGUGCUUGAGGAAGCUAGAGGUGAGCGGAACUGAUGGUGGAGCGGUGAAAUGCGUUGAUAUCAUCAGGAACACCGGAGGCGAAGGCGGCUCACUGGGGCUUAUCUGACGCUGAGGAACGAAAGCCAGGGGAGCGAACGGG
rnacentral:rRNA from 1 species